UCAAGCUACAAAGAGCGUAAGGGGAAUGCCUUGGCACCAGGAGCCGACGAAGGACGCAGCGAUCUGCGAAAAGCCACGGGGAGCCGAAAGCAGGCUUUGAUCCGUGGAUAUCCGAAUGGGGAAACCCGCAUGGUUAAUAGCCAUGCGACGUAUACUGAAUAAAUAGGUAUGCGUCGGGAACCGUCUGAACUGAAACAUCUAAGUAGGACGAGGAAAAGAAAUCAACCGAGAUUCCGUAAGUAGUGGCGAGCGAACACGGAAGAGGCCAAACCGAAGGUAGCAAUAUCUUCGGGGUACGGACAGUAAACGGCAUUGCGGUAUCUUAGCAGAAGUGCAUGGGACGGCACACCAUAGAGAGUGAUAGUCUCGUAAGCGAAAAGAGAAGGCAGCCAACUGUAUCCAGAGUACCGCCGGACACGUGAAACCCGGUGGGAACAUGGGGGGACCAUCCUCCAAGCCUAAAUACUCCCUGGUGACCGAUAGAGAACAGUACUGUGAAGGAAAGGUGAAAAGAACCCCGGGAGGGGAGUGAAAAGAACCUGAAACCUUAUGCUUACAAGCACCGAGAGCCCAUCAAAGGGUGAUCGGGUACCUUUUGUAGAAUGGUCCGGCGAGUGAAUGUAACUGGCAAGGUUAAGCACUUAAGGUGUGGAGCCGAAGCGAAAGCAAGUAUUAAUAGGGCGUCAAGUCAGUUGUAUUCGACCCGAAACCGUGUGACCUAGCCAUGAGCAGGCUGAAGUGGAGGUAAAACUCCAUGGAGGGCCGAACCCACUCCCGUUGAAAUGGUAGGGGAUGACUUGUGGCUAGCGGAGAAAUUCCAAUCGAACUCGGAGAUAGCUGGUUCUCUCCGAAAUAGCUUUAGGGCUAGCCUCGAUUUAACAUUACCGGAGGUAAAGCACUGAAUGGGCUAGGGGCCGAGAGGUUACUGAACCCUAUCAAACUAAGAAUGCCGGAUAAUGAUAAUCGGGAGUCAGACAGUGUGAGAUAAGUUUCAUUGUCAAAAGGGAAACAGCCCAGACCCACAGCUAAGGUCCCAAAGUACAGUUAAGUGGUGAAGGAUGUGGAAUUGCAUAGACAACCAGGAUGUUGGCUUAGAAGCAGCCACUCAUUAAAAGAGUGCGUAAUAGCUCACUGGUCGAGUGAUUCUGCGCCGAAAAUUUAACGGGGCUAAACUGUACACCGAAGCUUGGGAUACAUCUAAUGUAUGGUAGGAGAGCGUUGUAUACGGGGUGAAGUCAGAGCGGAAGCGCUGGUGGACUGUAUACAAGUGAGAAUGCCGGAAUGAGUAGCGAGAAUUAUGUGAGAAUCAUAAUGGCCGAAAGACUAAGGUUUUAGAAGGAAGGUUCGUCCGCUUCUAGUUAGCCGGGAGCUAAGGCGAGGCCGAAAGGCGUAGUCGAUGCACAUACGGUUGAGAUUCCGUAGCCACCUUAAAUUUAAACUAAGGGACACAUUGAAAGGGAAUAACCCAGGCGUUGGUUGACCUGGGCGUAAGGGAACGAAAAUAAGUAGUGAAGUAUUCUUGGACAGUGGCGAGAAAAGCUUAGUGUAUAUUAUUAGGGUGCCCGUACUGCAAACCGACACAGGUAGUCAGGAAGAGAAUUCUAAGGCCAUCGGGAGAAGCGUUGUUAAGGAACUCGGCAAAUUGACCCCGUAACUUCGGAAUAAGGGGUGCUCACGAGAGUGAGCCGCAGUGAAUAGGUCCAGGCGACUGUUUAUCAAAAACACAGCUCUCUGCUAAAUCGAAAGAUGACGUAUAGGGGGUGACACCUGCCCGGUGCUGGAAGGUUAAGAGGAAGGGUGCAAGCUCUGAAUUGAAGCCCCAGUAAACGGCGGCCGUAACUAUAACGGUCCUAAGGUAGCGAAAUUCCUUGUCGGGUAAGUUCC
rnacentral:rRNA from 1 species